rnacentral:tRNA from 1 species
GCCUGGGUGGCCCAGUCGGUUAAGCGUCCGACUUUGGCUCGGGUCAUGAUCUCACGGUUUGUGGGUUCGAGCCCCGCGUCGGGCU